rnacentral:lncRNA from 1 species
CUUCUUGAUUGUCUUCAAUACUGAUGACCUUUUAAUACAGAAGUAAUUUUAGACUUCUUAUUCGCUGAUGAGAAAGCCUUGCUGAUGGUGAGACAGUGAGAACAUUCUAUUUCCUAGCAAAUAUCUCUCUCUUCUCAUUUGUGUUGCAACUGUGUGUUGACUUGGUGGUUUUCAAGACUUCAGCGAGAUUCACAUUGCCGUUUUUUUCCUUUUUUUCAAAGCAUAUGAGUUCCAUUUCAAUUUAUUUUUAUUUGAGCUUGCAAUUUUUUAACAUCAACGGGAAUAAUCAAAGACAGAUCAGAGCCUUAUUCAAGUAUCA